rnacentral:ribozyme from 13 species
GAGAAGGAGUUGAAGAAGAAAAGAAAGAUUCUUUUUCUGGGGGAGAAAGAGUUUUCUUUUUGUUGGUUGCUCUUCUUCUUGUUUCUCUUGUUUCUUUUGUUUCUCUGAAUG